rnacentral:rRNA from 1 species
UACGGAGAGUGCAAACGUUGUUCGGAUUCACUGGGCGUAAAGGGCACGUAGGCGGCUCGGCAAAUCGGUCGUGGAAUCCAGACGCUUACCGUCUGAACGGCGGCCGAAAAUACCGGGCUCGAGGGCGUGAGGGGUCACUGGAACUCCUGGUGAAGCGGUGAAAUGCGUAGAUAUCAGGAGGAACGCCGGAGGCGAAAGCGAGUGACUGGCGCGUUCCUGACGCUGAGGUGCGAAAGCUAGGGGAGCAAACAGG